CGCCGUCCAAGUGCUGCAAUAAGCGCCGUCAUUUACAGCGUCUUCACUGACUCAUGUCGCGGUCCAAAACGCCGUUGCCCCUGUACUACACGGCGUUUGCGACGCUGUUGUUGAUGUCUAUAAGCGUCCUAACGUAAGGCGUUCAUUAUCACUUAACGCGGUUAUUAACGCCUGUUUGGUUUCAAUUCCUUAUUUGGAUUUUGCAUCAAUCACAUGGCUAGAUUUCAACCAAUCGCUGAGGAGAACAACUUUGAAACACGGAAAAAUAACAACAGCAGCAAGUUAAACGGCACUAUCUGUAAAUAUGUUGCCUGUUGGGCAUUUUCUUAUGACAUAGGCUUACAAAAUGUAAUAAGAUUGUUUUAGAGCUGUGUAUUACUCGCUAGAUGUUGUGUUAGUAAUGAAGCUAAAAUGAUAUUUUCACUUUGAAGUUCUACAUCGAACGGCAGCAACUUUUAUCUAACUACAGCUGGUUAGCUCGCUAGCUUGAUGGUUACUUUUGUGCCAUUUUUGACAUCCCAGUUUACUUGGUCUGACUCGCCUGUUACUGUACAGUACAUCAUUUCCAACACAUUGUUCUAAAAGACGGUGUUGCAUCCAAUUAUGGAUCUAUUAGGCUUCCUCACAUCUCUGGGGUUGAAGGACAGAACCUUGGGCAAACGCUUUCCUAUACUUCCCUCUACAAGUCAGGAGGAUCAUCAACACACAAGCCAACUUCCUGGACAUACAUGUUUGAGUCAUUGGCCCUUUGGAUGGUCAACAAGAACUUUGCAGAAGUUUCUACUCAGUGACAUUGAACCAGAGAAGCUCUUCCAUUCCCCAAUCCUUUCCAAACAAGAGACUGCUCACUUAAAUCUCAUGGCGGUGUAUUUAAUGACACAACUACUUAUUAUUUUUAGCAGGAUGCAUUGGCCACACAGAAUCAACUCUUCACAAGUAUGUGCAUUGGAACUUAAAUCAUUAGAAUCAACUAACAGGCAUGGGGGUCUAUGAUGUAAAUAGUCGAGGAAGUGUCUUGUUGUUAUACUUUUUAGAGAUGUUAAUACAAUUCUUAAUGUUGUCAAGUUAACAGUUCCACAAUAAAGUAUUCCUGAAGUAGGGGCCAGC
ensembl:lncRNA